rnacentral:sRNA from 1 species
AUGUACCACUCGUACACUCCGGUUCCUGCGCGCCGUCCGCGGCCACCUGACAGCUGCUCGCUACGUUUUGUUAGCC